rnacentral:snoRNA from 1 species
AAAAAAGCAGAGGUCUGUACUUUUCUCCUCUGAGCUAGUCUCUCGUAAACUUCAGGAAAACUAUUUGCACCAUUAUUGGGUGAACCUUUGUAAACUAUACUUGUGAAUAAAGGUUCAAAAAAUAUUGCUACAUUA